GGAGGGAUGACCGAGUGGUUUAAGGUGGCGGUCUUGAAAACCGUUGUCCCUUUACGGGGACCGUAGGUUCGAAUCCUAUUCCCUCCGCCA
rnacentral:tRNA from 1 species